rnacentral:sRNA from 1 species
GAUGAGUUCCAGCUUUGAUAGAAUGGGACCAGGUAUAGGAGCUAUACUGGAAAGGAGCAUCGAUAUGGAUCGAGGAUUUUUAUCGGGUCCAAUGGGAAGCGGCAUGAGAGAGAGAAUAGGCUCCAAAGGCAACCAGAUAUUUGUCAGAAAUGUAAGCAAAUAAAUAUUAAGGAUGAUUGAAAUUCUUUUUUUUCUUGUAUAUAUGUUACUAAUACCUCUUUUCAUUCUAGCUACCUUUUGACUUGACUUGGCAGAAACUAAAAGAGAAAUUCAGUCAGUGUGGUCAUGUAAUGUUUGCAGAAAUAAAAAUGGAGAAUGGAAAGUCAAAAGGCUGUGGAACAGUCAGAUUUGACUCCCCAGAAUCAGCUGAAAAAGCCUGCAGAAUAAUGAAUGGCAUAAAAAUCAGUGGCAGAGAAAUUGAUGUUCGCUUGGAUCGUAAUGCAUAAUUUCAAGCCAUGGUUGGAACAUUCCUACAUCUGUUUUGCUGAAUCUCCUAGUAAAAGUCAUUUUUUUAAAGUAAUAUUGUAUGCUUACAAAAGCUGUAAAAAUGAACUUUUAAAACUCCCACCAGCUUUUAACAGUAUAAUGUUAAAAAUAUACUGUAAUUUUUGUUAAUCUCAAGUUUGGGUUUUUAAAGACAGCAAGUCUGGUCAUUCAGUUUAAAUGAAUGGUUAUACUGUUUUUAAUG